AAAUGAUGUAUUUUUCAAUGAGACAGGCUUGAUCGAGAUCCUCUCCCUAUAAGCUUUUCGAGGUGACCCAUAUGAGGAAGGGCACUUAAGUGCUCGAUGAUGCACAAGCACAGCCCAUCAAGGAGCAUUAUCUACAGCUUGUGGAAAAGUCCUCUCAUCCACAGGAAGACUCCAAUGAGCCUACUAUUAUUAAUGAAAUGGCAUCAUAUUAUCAGGCUGUUAGGGGUGACACUAAACGGUGAGUCUAUGGAGUUGGAUCGCAAGCGGGUGUUUUCUAUCUCCAAUCAUCUAGUGCAUCAUCUUCUGCUACAUCUCACAUGCCACCACCAUUUGCUGAGGAGGAGCUGUGUCAACUAUGAUAGACGUUUGAGAUCUUGCGACAGAGAGACCAGGAUCGUGAGCACAUGAUGCAAAAGAGGGAGGAGCAAUGUGAGCGCUUUAUACAAGACCAACUAAGACAGAUGCAAGAGAUGAUGAGGGAGAUGCAGUCUCGAUUCUCACAACCCUCGCAACCUAUGGAGCAAGAUCCACCUUCGAGAGAUAAUGAUGCUGCUGCUUCUUUAUAUGAUGAUUUGGAUGAUUAAUAGCUUUUUUUUUUUUUUUCCUUAUCUCAUCUGAGCAUUAUGAAUUUUCCUACAAGCUUAAUAUUGUAUUUAUCCUUACUUUAUAUUUAUGGAUUUCAUGAUUAUGUAUUUAAUUUUAAUUUGUGUCAUUUAUUUUAUUAAUAUAAAAUGGAGCUUUUAUUAUUA